AUUUGGAUUCUCUAUUUAAAGUCUCACUCUCUUUUGUUUUUAGAGACAAUCUCUACAAGACUCAUUUUAACACAAUGUUUGUUUGUUUUUUUUUUUAAUUGAGCUUAAAUAAAUCUGCUUGUGUUUUUUUUGAGGUGAAGCGGCUUUUAUGUGCAGACAGUUGCCUGUGCUCAAAACCAGCUGGAUACAAGGUAGUUCUUGUUCAAAAGUUGUGUGGCAGAGUUACUGGAAACAUGAGCUGUAGCUUCUGCAUCCUGUCUCUUGGUACAGCUGCUACCAGACUCCAGCUGAACUGCAAAACAUUCUGCCACUUUUCUGUGUGUUUGGAAUUCUGAGUCUUAAAAAUGCUGGUAUGUGACUGGACAAGUAGAAGAAAAGAGGCUGCUGGAAAAAUUACAUAAAUCAUAAAAACUAAUAAAAUCUGACUCUCAAUAAAUAUACCUGAACAGCAG
ensembl:lncRNA